UACGUAGGGGGCAAGCGUUAUCCGGAUUUACUGGGUGUAAAGGGAGCGUAGACGGCAUGGCAAGCCAGAUGUGAAAUACCGGGACUCAACCCCGGGACUGCAUUUGGAACUGUUAAGCUGGAGUGUCGGAGAGGCAGGCGGAAUUCCUAGUGUAGCGGUGAAAUGCGUAGAUAUUAGGAGGAACACCAGUGGCGAAGGCGGCCUGCUGGACGAUAACUGACGUUGAGGCUCGAAAGCGUGGGGAGCAAACAGG
rnacentral:rRNA from 1 species